rnacentral:rRNA from 1 species
UCUUAAUGGGGCAAGGUGUAUGGAAAGGUUCUGAUGAUUUAGGACCAGAAGAUACACUAAAAGAAGUAAUAAAACAAGGAACAUUGACAAUUGGAUUUAUAGGUUUAGCAGAGUGCCUUAUUGCUCUUAUAGGUAAACAUCAUGGAGAAAGUAAAGAAGCUCAAGAAUUAGGAUUAAAAAUAGUGUCACAUAUGAGACAUAAAAUGGAUGAAGCAACGGACAAAUAUAAAUUAAAUUUCUCCUUAAUGGGUACUCCAGCAGAAGGUCUUUCAGGUAGGUUUACUAAAAUAGAUAAAAAAGUUUAUGGAGAAAUUAAAGGUAUCACAGAUAAAGAAUAUUAUACUAAUUCAUUCCAUGUACCAGUUUAUUACAAUAUAAGUGCAUAUGAUAAAAUUGAGAUAGAAGCUCCAUACCAUGAAUUGACUAAUGCAGGUCAUAUAACAUAUGUAGAGUUAGAUGGAGAUCCAUCUGAUAAUUUAGAAGCUUUUGAAACUGUUAUAAAAGCUAUGAAAGAUUUGGGUAUAGGAUAUGGAAGUAUAAAUCAUCCUGUAGAUAGAGACCCAAUAUGCGGUUUUUCAGGUGUAAUAACAAGUAAUAUAUGCCCUGUAUGUGGAAGAAAUGAAGAUGAAAGUGACAUCAAAUUCGAAAGAAUAAGAAGAAUAACAGGAUACUUAGUUGGUACAGUUGAUAGAUUUAAUAAUGCUAAAAAAGCAGAAGUAAGAGAUAGAGUAAAACAUAGAUAGUUUUAUUUGGGGGAAUAAGUUAUGAAAAUAAGAAUGUCAUCUACUAUAAGUUAUGACAGCAUAGUUGAUGGACCAGGAUUAAGAAUGGUAAUAUGGACUCAAGGAUGUAUUCAUAAUUGUAAAGAGUGCCAUAAUCCUCAGACACAUGAUUUAUGUGGAGGAUUUUAUAUGGAUACAGAAGAAAUUAUAAAUAAAGUCAAAUCAUUGAAAUUACAAAAAGGCAUUACGCUAUCAGGAGGAGAACCAUUUUUACAACCAGAACCAUUAGAAGAAAUAGCAAGAGAAGCUAAAAUAAAUGGGUUAGAUGUAUGGUCAUAUACUGGAUUUACGUUUGAACAACUGUUAGAUAAAAAAAAUAGAGCGUAUUUUAAAAAUUUAAAUUUACUAAAGCAAAUUGAUAUUUUAGUGGAUGGAAAAUUUAUAGCUGAAAAAAAAGAUAUAAGCUUAAAGUUUAGAGGGUCAUCAAAUCAAAGGAUAAUUGAUGUUCAAAAAAGUUUGAAAUAUAAAAAAGUGUUUUUGGUUGAGCAAUAUAUGAAGGAUGAUUUAUCUAUAGCAGAAUAAAAUAUAAAUAAACAGGAUUAAAUAUAUGCAUAUAUUUAAUCCUGUUUAUUUUCAUAUAAUAUUUCAAGCUUGUAUAAUGUAACAAUUAAACCAAAAGACUCAUUGUAUAUUUGAAAUUAAGUUUUUUAUAGUUUAUAGGUGUUUUAUGUGGAUUACGAAUGAUAUAGUAUCGAUACAUUAUUUAAUAGAUUCUUAUGCCAAGAAACAAUUAAUUUAUAGAAAUUUUUAAUUGUUACAAUAUAAAUAUCUAGAUAAGUUAUAAGAUACUGAUAAAUAAUUUAUAAAGUUUAUUAAUCUAAUAUUGUGUGUGAAUAUUAAGUGGUCAAGUAGUCUAAAAAUGAAAAAGAUUUAAAAAAGUGUUUUAACUAAACACAUAAGUGUUAAAUUCAUGUAUAAGUAUAGGUUAGAUACAUAAGAAAUAAUUAUGUAAUAUCUAUCUUUGUAAAAAAAUAUUAAAUUUUGUAAUUUGUGGAUAAAUAUGUUUAUAAUGUGGAUAAUAUUUAAUGUAAUAAGUUAAAGCAAUAUGAAUCAACUGUUUAUAAUGUGGAUAAUAUUAUAAAUGUAUGAAUAAUUGCAGUAUUUAAAAACAAAAAAAGUUAAAAAAGUUGUUGACUCUAAAAGAAAAAGUUGGUAUAGUAAUACUUGUCCUCAAGAAAAGGGCAAACAAAUAAAGCAUAAAGAACUUUGAAAAUUAAACAGUAGGUUAAUUUAUAAAACAAGAAACAAACCAUAAAGCCAGAUAUUUUGAUAACAAUAGUAUCUGAGCCUGAUGAACUUUUAUUUGAGAGUUUGAUCCUGGCUCAGGAUGAACGCUGGCGGCGUGCCUAACACAUGCAAGUUGAGCGAUUUACUUCGGUAAAGAGCGGCGGACGGGUGAGUAACGCGUGGGUAACCUACCCUGUACACACGGAUAACAUACCGAAAGGUAUGCUAAUACGGGAUAAUAUAUUUGAGAGGCAUCUCUUGAAUAUCAAAGGUGAGCCAGUACAGGAUGGACCCGCGUCUGAUUAGCUAGUUGGUAAGGUAACGGCUUACCAAGGCGACGAUCAGUAGCCGACCUGAGAGGGUGAUCGGCCACAUUGGAACUGAGACACGGUCCAAACUCCUACGGGAGGCAGCAGUGGGGAAUAUUGCACAAUGGGCGAAAGCCUGAUGCAGCAACGCCGCGUGAGUGAUGAAGGCCUUCGGGUCGUAAA